UGAAUACGAGAUGCUACGGCGUCGAAGCAGUCUAUGUCAUACUUCCAAGAAAAGCUUGCACUGUCAUAAACAAAUAAUGCCUGUACCAUAACCGACACAGGUGGGUAGGUAGAGUAUACUAAGGGGCGCGAGAUAACUCUCUCUAAGGAACUCGGCAAAAUGACUCCGUAACUUCGGGAGAAGGAGUGCCUUAUUUAUAAGGUUGCAAUAACAAGAUCCAAGCAACUGUUUACCAAAAACACAGGUCUCCGCUAAGUCGUAAGACGAUGUAUGGGGGCUGACGCCUGCCCAGUGCCAGAAGGUUAAAGAAGUUGGUUAGCAUCCGCGAAGCUGAUAACUGAAGCCCUGGUGAACGGCGGCCGUAACAAUAACGGUCCUAAGGUAGCGAAAUUCCUUGUCGGGUAAGUUCCGACCCGCACGAAAGGCGUAAUGAUUUGGAUACUGUCUCGGAGAGGGGCUCGGUGAAAUAGACUUGUCUGUGAAGAUGCGGACUACCUGCACCAGGACAGAAAGACCCUAUGAAGCUUUACUGUAACCUGAAAUUGAAAUUGGACUUUACUUGCGCAGUAUAGGUGGGAGGCGUUGAGAAUAUUCUUGCGGGAUUAUUGGAGCCAUCAGUGAGAUACCACUCUUGUAAUGUUAGAUUUCUAACUUUGUAUCAUUAUCUGGUCAAAGAACAGUUUCAGGCGGGCAGUUUGACUGGGGCGGUCGCCUCCUAAACGGUAACGGAGGCGCACAAAGGUUUCCUCUGAACGGGUAGAAAUCGUAUCUAGAGUGUAAAGGCAUAAGGAAGCUAGACUGUGAGACCUACAAGUCGAGCAGGGACGAAAGUCGGUCUUAGUGAUCUGACGGUGCUGAGUGGAAAGGCCGUCACUCAACGGAUAAAAGUUACUCUAAGGAUAACAGGCUGAUCUCCCCCAAGAGUUCACAUCGACGGGGAGGUUUGGCACCUCGAUGUCGGCUCAUCGCAUCCUGGGGCGGUAGUACGUCCCAAGGGUUGGGCUGUUCGCCCAUGAAAGCGGUACGCGAGCUGGGUUCAGAACGUCGUGAGACAGUUCGGUCCAUAUCCGGUGUAGGCGUUAGAAUAUUGAGAGGAGCCUUCUUUAGUACGAGAGGACCGAGAAGGACAUACCUCUGGUGUACCAGUUAUCGUGCCAACGGUAAACGCUGGGUAGCUAUGUGUGGAGUGGAUAACCGCUGAAAGCAUCUAAGUGGGAAGCCCACCUCAAGAUAAG
rnacentral:rRNA from 1 species